GACGUCUCUCACCUCAGACGCCCUGCACAAGGGUCGUUCUGUCGUGUCUUGUUCGCAUGCGAGAAAUUCGGAGUAUCUCUUCACCGCACCCCACGGCCACCUCCUUCGGGGGGGAAACCGUGUGGGCACCGCAGUCGCUCUGCCUUUCGAGGCGGAGAGGACGGGUCUGCCCGUGAGGGCCUGGCGUCACCCCGACGCCUGCAACUUGGCAUCAGAAAUUUCAGGGCCCUCCGCCUCAGCGGGGGGAUACACCCUCUGGGAAGCCAUUGCGGAGAUUGUGUAUUGACACUUGAGUGCGAUGCGUGGCGUGGCGGAAGCCAUGAUUCGAUUCCGAUUAUUCUGUU
rnacentral:RNase_P_RNA from 2 species